AUUGACCUCGGAUCAGGUAGGGAUACCCGCUGAACUUAAGCAUAUCAAUAAGCGGAGGAAAAGAAACCAACAGGGAUUGCCUCAGUAACGGCGAGUGAAGCGCAAAAGCCUUUCAAAUGAAA
rnacentral:rRNA from 1 species